GACAGAGGGUGCAAACGUUGUUCGGAAUUACUGGGCGUAAAGCGCGUGUAGGCGGCAGCGCAAGUCGGGUGUGAAAGCCCUGGGCUCAACCUAGGAAGAGCACUCGAAACUGCGUGGCUUGAGUUCUGGAGAGGAAGGCGGAAUUCUCGGUGUAGAGGUGAAAUUCGUAGAUAUCAAGAGGAACACCAGUGGCGAAGGCGAGUCCCUGGACGAUACCUGACACUGAGGCACGAAAGCCAAGGGAGCAAACAGG
rnacentral:rRNA from 1 species